UUUGCCAGCAGCCGCGGUUACACCAAGAGAUUAAGUUAUAUCUUUAGGUAAAAAAGACAGUUAAGCUUAGAAAGUUGUUUAGUUUAAUUGAUCACUUAUAAAAAAGUAAAAUUUGCAUAUAAUUUGUUAAUUCUAUUUUAACUAGUUUGCUGAAGCUGUGAUAGUCUUGAGGGAAACUGGGAUUAGAUACCCCAUUAUUCUUGACUGUAAAUCUAAUUAAUUUUACCAGAGUACUAUGAAUGUAUAAAUAAAGAUUUAAAACUCAAAGAGCUUGGCGGUGUUUUAGACCUAUCAGGGGAACCUGUCUCAUAAUCGACAAUCCACGUUAAACCUGACCCUAUUUUGUAUUCAGUUUGUAUACCGUCGUCGUCAGGUAACUUUUAAAAAACUAGAAGUUAGCAGUAAAAAUUUUAUAAGUUAAGACGUCAGAUCAAGGUGCAGCCAAUAAGAGGGAGAGGAUGGGUUACAAUUAUUUUAAUCAUAAUUACGGAAAAUAACACGAAAACGGAAUUAGAAGGAGGACUUGAAAGUAAAAUAAAAUAUAUAAACAACUUGAAUAUGGCUCUGAAACGUGCACACAUCGCCCGCCACUCUAAAA
rnacentral:rRNA from 1 species